UUGAAUUAAUUUUCUAACUGCAUCUAAUUACAUAUACAGAGAGAAAAAAAAGCAGAAUCUGUGGUAAUUAUUACACAACUGAAAGGCAGUGCUCUUGAAGAAGAAUAUGUAUAUUCAGGGAACUGCAUGUGGUUUCUUCUAGAAGACAGAAGAACCUUGGGACUGUGGGGCUUUCUGAGUUUUGUUAAAAGUUUGAUUUCUACAGGUCACCCAGCCUCUGAUGUUAGAGGAUAGGAGUAGGAGAAAGUUUCCAGUUCUUCACUGUGUGUCUGUUCAUUGAAACCUCAUUCAAUCUCAAUUCUCUGCCUUACAGUGUACUGCAAAUUGUGAAUCAUAAGAAGAUGAAAGAAUUUUUUUUGACAAGAACUGGAUGUUCCUCAAAUGGACUCACUGGUCUUUGAGGAUGUGGCUGUGAACUUCACCUGGGAGGAGUGGGUUUCACUAGAUUCCUCACAGAAGAAACUCUACAGAGAUGUGAUGCUGGAAAACUUCAGAAACAUUGUCUCAGUAGAAGCAGAAUGGAAACAUCAUGGCAUUGAAAGUCAGUCCAGAAACCAGGGAAGUAAAUUAAGGUGAGUCAUACUCAAAAUUAAAAGCAUUUCUCAUAUGAGAAUUGUGGUCUACUGUGAAAAUUUUAAAAGAGGCAAACAAAAAAAAUAGUCCCAUUUUCAAAUAUAGUUGCUUUUUGAAAAUAUCUACCAAAAAUGUUUCCUUAAAACUAAUAGUAAUAUUCAGUGUUUGCAAUAUAGUUCAUGUGCAAUCAGUAUUCAUAAAGCCUAUAUUUGAUUAUCACUUUUUAAUUGAAAGGUUGGUUGA